AUUACAGUAUUCUUUUGCCAGCGCUUAACUGCGCGGCGAAAAACCUUACACACAGUGUCUUUUUGAUACAGAACUCUUGCUUUGGUUUGGCCUAGAGAUAGGUUGGGCCAGAGGUUUAACAAAACACAAUUUAAUUAUUUUUACAGUUAGUCAAAUUUUGAAUUAAUCUUCAAAACUUUCAACAACGGAUCUCUUGGUUCUCGCAUCGAUGAAGAACGCAGCGAAAUGCGAUAAGUAAUAUGAAUUGCAGAUUUUCGUGAAUCAUCGAAUCUUUGAACGCACAUUGCGCCCUCUGGUAUUCCAGAGGGCAUGCCUGUUUGAGCGUCAUUUCUCUCUCAAACCCCCGGGUUUGGUAUUGAGUGAUACUCUUAGUCGGACUAGGCGUUUGCUUGAAAAGUAUUGGCAUGGGUAGUACUAGAUAGUGCUGUCGACCUCUCAAUGUAUUAGGUUUAUCCAACUCGUUGAAUGGUGUGG
rnacentral:rRNA from 1 species